UAGCUGGGCUUGGGGCGGGGCCGAGACGGAGCGAGGGGUCCAGGGUGUGGGAAACGGGGAGGGGUUUGAGGAGGGGAUCGGAAUGUGGCUCAAGUUCGGGAGGCGUUACCUGCGGAGGGUUUGAGGCAGGCCCAGGAGCGAGCCCAUGGUCUUCCGACGCGGGGCCAGGGGCGGGGCCCAGGAUCCGGAGCUUCGUGCGGGGCCGAGUCCAGGUUUGGGGCCCGGGAGGCGGGGCCAGUUAGGGCGAGGGUCCCUGGGAUCGUCGGGUCAGGCCUUGGGCUAACGUAGGCACUCUCGCAGUUCCUCCGCCUUCAGGAAGGUCUUUUCAGCAGGGGCCUUACGGGUGCAUGCUUCGGUCCUGGAGGCCUUAUCCUAGCCUCCUCUCCAUCAGCGCCACCCGUCUGGGGCCCGAAAGGAGGGAGCUUUCCCUCUGUCCCCCAGCCUUUGGACUGUCACUAAACAAGCCAUUCGUUCAUCAAAUACUUUUUAAGCGCCUACCAUGUGCCUGACAAGGGAGAUGUAACGGUGAGAAAAACUAGGUGUGGUCCAGGCCCUUCAGGGGCUCAGGUGCUCGUGGAAGAAGUGGACAUUGAAGUACUUAUCACACAAAUGAGGAUAAAAGUACGAUAACGAUAUCUACCACGAAGCUGUUGUUCCCCACCAGAACCAAAUGAGCGCAAGAUCUGACAAAGAAAAAAAAAGGCCAGAGUGCAGUUGACGCAGGGCAGGGGAGCCCCGAAGUGGAGCAUAGUGUGUCCGGAACUGGUGGGUUCUUGGUCUCACUGACUUCAAGAAAGAAGCCGCGGACCCUCGCGAGACGGGGUCUUGCUCUGUUGCUCAAGCUGGA
rnacentral:lncRNA from 1 species